rnacentral:rRNA from 1 species
UACGUAGGCAGCGAGCGUUGUUCGGAAUUACUGGGCGUAAAGAGUGUGUAGGCGGUGUUCCAAGUCUGGUGUGAAAUCUCCCGGCUUAACUGGGAGGGUGCGCCGGAAACUGGAGGGCUUGAGUAUGGGAGAGGAAAGCGGAAUUCCUGGUGUAGCGGUGAAAUGCGUAGAUAUCAGGAGGAAUACCGGUGGUGUAGACGGCUCUCUGGACCGCAACUGACGCUGAAACACGAAAGCGUGGGUAGCAAACAGG